rnacentral:rRNA from 1 species
CCCUACGGGGUGCCUGGAUGCAGUCCAUUCCAUGCAUGGUGCAGGAAAAUGCCCAGCAUGGCCAGAACCCGAAUCAGGUGGAUCUGGGAAAGAGCGUCUUUGGGAAGUCUUGUCAAAGUCUGGCCUCAGGGUUCUAUAAUGAUCAGAAAAAUGACUUUCGACCUCAACCCGACCUAUACUACGAGGACAUUGUCUCGAGUCUUGAGCACUAUAGGCAAUUCCGGCAGCUUGCGCCAUCAGGAAAGGAGGCAUGAUGAAACCGUUCGAAGGAGUCGACUACUACCAGGUGGAGGACUUGCUCACACAGGAAGAGCGGGACGCCCGCGACAAGGUGCACCAGUGGGUCCGCACACGCUACCUGCCGCGGGCCGCGGAUUGCUUCGAGGAAGGGGUCUUUCCCACGGACCUCAUCCCGGAAUUGGCGGGAGGGC